UACGGAAGGCAGCAGUGGGGAAUAUUGCACAAUGGGCGAAAGCCUGAUGCAGCUAUGCCGCGUGUAUGAAGAAGGCCUUAGGGUUGUAAAGUACUUUCAUCGGGGAAGAAAAAACAAAACUAAUAAUUUUAUUUCUUGACGUUACCCGAAAAAGAAGCACCGGCUAACUCCGUGCCAGCAGCCGCGGUAAUACGGAGGGUGCUAGCGUUAAUCAGAAUUACUGGGCGUAAAGAGCACGUAGGUGGUUUUUUUAAGUCAGAUGUGAAAUCCCUGGGCUUAACCUAGGAACUGCAUUUUGAAACUGAAAUACUAGAGUAUCGUAGAGGGAGGUAGAAUUCUAGGUGUAGCGGUGAAAUGCGUAGAUAUCUGGAGGAAUACCUGUGGCGAAAGUGGCCUCCUAAACGAAUACUGACACUGAGGUGCGAAAGCGUGGGGAGCAAACAGGGAUUAGAUACC
rnacentral:rRNA from 1 species